UUAAAUCUCAAUAAAAAGGGAUAACUUCGCAGUCUUCUCCCUAUCGUCUCUUUAGCGUUGUGGUGGCAGAAUCGAGAGGUUCUCCUAGUCCCGAUUGUCAAACGAGGAUCUAAGCGACUUCCAAAUACAAGGUUCUUUUGUGGAGAGUUAAGUGGGAGUCAACUUGGAUUUUUGUGGGUUUAGCGAAUAUCAGAUCAGGAGUAGAGGUCAGUGACGGAUAGCUUAGCAGGAUCGUUGGGGCACCGUCAAUCUUCUUAGCAUGUAAUAAGUCCCGUUUGUUG